AUGAACGCUGGCGGCGUGCCUAAUACCUGCAAGUCGCGCGCACAGACGAGGAGCUUGCUCCUCUGACGUUAGCGGCGGACGGGUGAGUAACACGUGGAUAACCUACCUAUAAGACUGGGAUAACUUCGGGAAACCGGAGCUAAUACCGGAUAAUAUAUUGAACCGCAUGGUUCAAUAGUGAAAGACGGUUUUGCUGUCACUUAUAGAUGGAUCCGCGCCGCAUUAGCUAGUUGGUAAGGUAACGGCUUACCAAGGCGACGAUGCGUAGCCGACCUGAGAGGGUGAUCGGCCACACUGGAACUGAGACACGGUCCAGACUCCUACGGGAGGCAGCAGUAGGGAAUCUUCCGCAAUGGGCGAAAGCCUGACGGAGCAACGCCGCGUGAGUGAUGAAGGUCUUCGGAUCGUAAAACUCUGUUAUUAGGGAAGAACAAAUGUGUAAGUAACGAUGCACGUCUUGACGGUACCUAAUCAGAAAGCCACGGCGAACUACGU
rnacentral:rRNA from 1 species